UACGUAGGUGGCGAGCGUUGUCCGGAUUUAUUGGGCGUAAAGGGCGCGCAGGUGGUGCGGUAAGGCUGCCGUGAAAUCUCCCGGCUCAACUGGGAGGGUGCGCCGAAAACUGGAAUGCUUGAACAUGGGAGAGGAAAGCGGAAUUCCUGGUGUAGCGGUGAAAUGCGUAGAUAUCAGGAGGAACACCUGCGGUGUAGACGGCUUUCUGGACCAUUGUUGACGCUGAGACGCGAAAGCGUGGGUAGCAAACAGG
rnacentral:rRNA from 1 species